rnacentral:rRNA from 1 species
UACGAAGGGGGCUAGCGUUGCUCGGAAUCACUGGGCGUAAAGCGCACGUAGGCGGAUUGCUAAGUCAGGGGUGAAAUCCUGGAGCUCAACUCCAGAACUGCCCUUGAUACUGGCGGUCUCGAGUCCGGGAGAGGUGAGUGGAACUGCGAGUGUAGAGGUGAAAUUCGUAGAUAUUCGCAAGAACGCCAGUGGCGAAGGCGGCUCACUGGCCCGGUACUGACGCUGAGGUGCGAAAGCGUGGGGAGCAAACAGG